rnacentral:lncRNA from 1 species
ACAGGCGAUGGCUAGCUUGUGGCCGCAGACGUGAAAACCAAGCGAAGAUAUGUUUUAUAAAAGCCGUCUCGUUCACAGGCGAUGGCUAGCUUGUGGCCGCAGACGUGAAAACCAAGCGAAGAUAUGUUUUAUAAAAGCCGUCUCGUUCACAGGCGAUGGCUAGCUUGUGGCCGCAGACGUGAAAACCAAGCGAAGAUAUGUUUUAUAAAAGCCGUCUCGUUCACAGGCGAUGGCUAGCUUGUGGCCGCAGACGUGAAAACCAAGCGAAGAUAUGUUUUAUAAAAGCCGUCUCGUUCACAGGCGAUGGCUAGCUUGUGGCCGCAGACGUGAAAACCAAGCGAAGAUAUGUUUUAUAAAAGCCGUCUCGUUCACAGGCGAUGGCUAGCUUGUGGCCGCAGACGUGAAAACCAAGCGAAGAUAUGUUUUAUAAAAGCCGUCUCGUUCACAGGCGAUGGCUAGCUUGUGGCCGCAGACGUGAAAACCAAGCGAAGAUAUGUUUUAUAAAAGCCGUCUCGUUCACAGGCGAUGGCUAGCUUGUGGCCGCAGACGUGAAAACCAAGCGAAGAUAUGUUUUAUAAAAGCCGUCUCGUUCACAGGCGAUGGCUAGCUUGUGGCCGCAGACGUGAAAACCAAGCGAAGAUAUGUUUUAUAAAAGCCGUCUCGUUCACAGGCGAUGGCUAGCUUGUGGCCGCAGACGUGAAAACCAAGCGAAGAUAUGUUUUAUAAAAGCCGUCUCGUUCACAGGCGAUGGCUAGCUUGUGGCCGCAGACGUGAAAACCAAGCGAAGAUAUGUUUUAUAAAAGCCGUCUCGUUCACAGGCGAUGGCUAGCUUGUGGCCGCAGACGUGAAAACCAAGCGAAGAUAUGUUUUAUAAAAGCCGUCUCGUUCACAGGCGAUGGCUAGCUUGUGGCCGCAGACGUGAAAACCAAGCGAAGAUAUGUUUUAUAAAAGCCGUCUCGUUCACAGGCGAUGGCUAGCUUGUGGCCGCAGACGUGAAAACCAAGCGAAGAUAUGUUUUAUAAAAGCCGUCUCGUUCACAGGCGAUGGCUAGCUUGUGGCCGCAGACGUGAAAACCAAGCGAAGAUAUGUUUUAUAAAAGCCGUCUCGUUCACAGGCGAUGGCUAGCUUGUGGCCGCAGACGUGAAAACCAAGCGAAGAUAUGUUUUAUAAAAGCCGUCUCGUUCACAGGCGAUGGCUAGCUUGUGGCCGCAGACGUGAAAACCAAGCGAAGAUAUGUUUUAUAAAAGCCGUCUCGUUCACAGGCGAUGGCUAGCUUGUGGCCGCAGACGUGAAAACCAAGCGAAGAUAUGUUUUAUAAAAGCCGUCUCGUUCACAGGCGAUGGCUAGCUUGUGGCCGCAGACGUGAAAACCAAGCGAAGAUAUGUUUUAUAAAAGCCGUCUCGUUCACAGGCGAUGGCUAGCUUGUGGCCGCAGACGUGAAAACCAAGCGAAGAUAUGUUUUAUAAAAGCCGUCUCGUUCACAGGCGAUGGCUAGCUUGUGGCCGCAGACGUGAAAACCAAGCGAAGAUAUGUUUUAUAAAAGCCGUCUCGUUCACAGGCGAUGGCUAGCUUGUGGCCGCAGACGUGAAAACCAAGCGAAGAUAUGUUUUAUAAAAGCCGUCUCGUUCACAGGCGAUGGCUAGCUUGUGGCCGCAGACGUGAAAACCAAGCGAAGAUAUGUUUUAUAAAAGCCGUCUCGUUCACAGGCGAUGGCUAGCUUGUGGCCGCAGACGUGAAAACCAAGCGAAGAUAUGUUUUAUAAAAGCCGUCUCGUUCACAGGCGAUGGCUAGCUUGUGGCCGCAGACGUGAAAACCAAGCGAAGAUAUGUUUUAUAAAAGCCGUCUCGUUCACAGGCGAUGGCUAGCUUGUGGCCGCAGACGUGAAAACCAAGCGAAGAUAUGUUUUAUAAAAGCCGUCUCGUUCACAGGCGAUGGCUAGCUUGUGGCCGCAGACGUGAAAACCAAGCGAAGAUAUGUUUUAUAAAAGCCGUCUCGUUCACAGGCGAUGGCUAGCUUGUGGCCGCAGACGUGAAAACCAAGCGAAGAUAUGUUUUAUAAAAGCCGUCUCGUUCACAGGCGAUGGCUAGCUUGUGGCCGCAGACGUGAAAACCAAGCGAAGAUAUGUUUUAUAAAAGCCGUCUCGUUCACAGGCGAUGGCUAGCUUGUGGCCGCAGACGUGAAAACCAAGCGAAGAUAUGUUUUAUAAAAGCCGUCUCGUUCACAGGCGAUGGCUAGCUUGUGGCCGCAGACGUGAAAACCAAGCGAAGAUAUGUUUUAUAAAAGCCGUCUCGUUCACAGGCGAUGGCUAGCUUGUGGCCGCAGACGUGAAAACCAAGCGAAGAUAUGUUUUAUAAAAGCCGUCUCGUUCACAGG